rnacentral:tRNA from 3 species
GGGGAGAUGCCGGAGUGGCCGAACGGGACGGAUUCGAAAUCCGUUGUGUUAGCGAUAGCACCUAGGGUUCGAAUCCCUAUUUCCCCG